UACGUAGGGGGCAAGCGUUGUCCGGAAUUAUUGGGCGUAAAGAGCGCGUAGGCGGUCCGGUAAGUCAGCUGUGAAAGUCAAGGGCUCAACCCUUGAAAGCCGGUUGAUACUGUCGGGCUAGAGUCCGGAAGAGGCGAGUGGAAUUCCCGGUGUAGCGGUGAAAUGCGCAGAUAUCAGGAAGAACACCCGUGGCUAAGGCGGUUCUCUAGUACGGUACUGACGCUGAGACGCGAAAGCGUGGGGAGCGAACAGG
rnacentral:rRNA from 1 species